UACGGAGGGUGCAAGCGUUAAUCGGAAUUACUGGGCGUAAAGCGCACGCAGGCGGUCAAUUAAGUCAGAUGUGAAAGCCCCGAGCUUAACUUGGGAAUUGCAUCUGAAACUGGUUGGCUAGAGUCUUGUAGAGGGGGGUGGAAUUCCACGUGUAGCGGUGAAAUGCGUAGAGAUGUGGAGGAAUACCGGUGGCGAAGGCGGCCCCCUGGACAAAGACUGACGCUCAGGUGCGAAAGCGUGGGGAGCAAACAGG
rnacentral:rRNA from 1 species